CAAUAUUUUAUAAGUGCGUUACGUUGUACUACCGGAACUAUUAGACACAUUUUGUGCUCCACACGGAAAGUAAUACCAGCGGCACCAGUAAAUAUGGCAGCCUCCGCGCGGAGCUUAUUAAGAGUGUUGGCUGGAUGUCAGAGGCAGAUCCUCAUCUCCAGCGCUUCAUCUUCUUUAUGUCCGUCCCAGAAUGCAGCUAGGCAUCAUCCUGUCAGGACGUAUGCUGCAGCAGCCAAACCAUCUAAGAAGGAGAAAAAAGGUGAAAAGGGAGCAGCAAAGGAAGUAAAGCAAGAAGAGAAGAAGAAGGAGAAAAAGAAGAUCGAUGAUACCGGUCGUCAUAAGCCGUACGGCCUGACAGCCUGGGUGCCGAUCGAUGACGUGUAUGUAGUGAGGCACUAUCCUAAACAGGUGUAUGAUGCAGAUGUAGCUGUGGACAUGCUGAAGAGCUUUCAGAAGCUGGACUUUACCCCUGAAGAUCAGCCUCUUUUCAUUGAACUGAUGCUGGAUAUGAAACUAGAGAAAAAGAGAAAAGUAGACCCCUUUGUUAGCACUGUCCAUUUACCGCAUCCGUUUAAAAACGAUCUGAACAAAGUCGUGGUUUUCACAGAGGAUCCAGAGGAAGCCAGAGUGGCCACUGAGCACGGAGCAGCUAUAGUGGGAGGAGCCGAACUUGUUGAAAAGAUCUUGGAAGACGAGAUCACAGCAGACUUUUACGUGGCUGUUCCCGACAUCAUCCCAAAGCUCCUGCCUUUAAAAAACAAACUGAGGAAAAAAUUCCCAAAGAGCAAACGAGGAUCAGUUGGGGUGAACAUUCCUAAAAUGCUGCAGUUGUUCAGGAGCGGACACGAGUACAUGGUGGAGAGGGACGUCUACGUCAUCACGCAAGUCGGAACGUUAAACUGCCCACUGUUCUUCAGAAAAAUCCUCCAGGUCCUGCACAUUCCAGCAUCUUCUGCAUAUUUGACCCCUUUCCAACAGCGGCUAUAUGAUACUGAGAUCCAUCUUUUCACACUGAGGACAAUUGAGGGACUCGUACACAACUAUUACAAAAGCUGGAUAUGCCAAAGGAACACAUCCUAGAUAACAUGCGGGUCAUCAUUCAGGACGUUGCGUCCCACAAGCCAUCAGAAUUCGGUUCCAUUAUUGAGAGAGCCGUCACAAACAGUCAGACGAGCGAGGCUUUACGCAUCAAAUAUGAAGUAUUUUUACAGCAAGAGGUGAAGGAGGCCUGAGUAAAGUCCUCAUAGUGUAUAUUUCAUUGUGUAAUGACAUAUAUGUAAUAAAUUUUCUCAAAUAUGUAA